UUCAAGCAAGUACUAGAAAUCUUUCCCCUUUUGGCAUGAGCUCGAUCAGCUGAACAGUAACAUGUGACCACAAUCCAAGGCAACCUUUGUUUGCAAGACCAAGAGUGGAUCUUUUUGAUUUAUAUUUUUUUUUCUUUCCCACAGCAAGCUUUUAGGUCUGCAGCAGCUCCUCUCCAUGGGAACAGAUCCACUGUUUACUGGCUGAAUCAGCUGUUUCCAUCACUGCAUUAAACACUGAUGCUCGAGAUAACCAUGUUCAGGCUAUUGCUGCCAUACAGAACUACAGGCUUGCAGGCUGGAGUCAAGACACUCACUUCCUCCCCUUCUGUAGUUGGGUUAUUCCUGCUCAGGCCAUUUCUACAGUUUUACCCCACUCUCACCAGGGAAUCAGAGCUCCUGCAGCUCAUCCCACACCAACAGCUUUAGGAAGUUGAGGAAUGAAAUGGACAAUUUUGACACUGUAGGGAGGAACCAAAACAGCAUGAAAAGCAAGUGUCCUGGAGGAAGAAAAAGGCGCUUAGGACAACAAACAAGGCUGCUGCUUUCCAGGGAAGGAGGACAUGAGGAAACGCUACAGACUAAGAGAAGGAACAAGGCCAUGUGUGCAGACUCAUGCUUUCCAUGGGCCAAGGUUGUGCAUACAGCCACAGGAAAGAGAAGGCAGUAAAAGGCUGCAAGGAAGCAGCUGAGCGGGACUUUCUGCCUUUCUAAUUUCAGAGAGAAAUACCCAUCCACAGAAUCUCGUGGAGGAGACAGCCCCACGUAUCACCUGGAUACUAAACCUGACACCUUGGAAGCACUCAGCUCUCCAGUAGAACAACUGUGUUCGCACUUCCUACCAACUCAAGUACACCUCCACGUUCAAAUGAAAUAAGAUCCUCUCAGCAAUGUGGCUUCAAAUGCCCAGGGAAUUAGUCAUAAAGAUUCUAGUUCUUUGAUGUGCAUAAAGCCAUCAAAAUUUUGUUUUGCUUUGGUUGUUUUUGUUUUUUUUUUUCUUUUUUUCCUUUUAAAACCUGAUAUUACUAACAGUGCUGGGAAUCAAGUUGCUGGGAUUUUUGUUUGUUAUUUUAAGAUAGGAAAGCUGUCACAUAAACCCAGUCAAUUGCCAGGCCCGGAAAUAAUGCUUUGCAAGCAGUGAAAGGAAACUCAAAUAACUCCCUGCCCAACAUUGCUUUCUAGUUCAUCUGUCAUAAAAACAGCAGAGAGCAGCUCAAAGCCAAAAGACUUUUUUUCUUUGCUUUGUUUUAGCUCUAGCAGCACAGAAAGGUGAUAUCACUGCAUAUUGUAACCAAGCAAAUGAGUAAUGAAAGUGCAAGCAAAUACAUUAAAUAGCACAGGCUUAAAUAAAAGGUGUGAUAAUCGUU